UGGGGAAUUUUGGACAAUGGGCGCAAGCCUGAUCCAGCCAUGCCGCGUGAGUGAAGAAGGCCUUCGGGUUGUAAAGCUCUUUCGGCGGGGACGAAACGGUUCGUGACAACACCACGGACUAAUGACGGUACCCGCAUAAGAAGCACCGGCUAACUACGUGCCAGCAGCCGCGGUAAUACGUAGGGUGCAAGCGUUAAUCGGAAUUACUGGGCGUAAAGCGUGCGCAGGCGGUUGUGUAAGUCAGAUGUGAAAUCCCCGGGCUCAACCUGGGAAUUGCAUUUGAGACUGCACGGCUAGAGUGUGUCAGAGGGGGGUAGAAUUCCACGUGUAGCAGUGAAAUGCGUAGAUAUGUGGAGGAAUACCGAUGGCGAAGGCAGCCCCCUGGGAUAACACUGACGCUCAUGCACGAAAGCGUGGGGAGCAAACAGGAUUAGAUACCCACGUAGUCCCUGAGCGGGCUGGCAAGGCGCAU
rnacentral:rRNA from 1 species